GACACCGGCACCCGCUGCUCCGACGCCAGGACGCACACACGUACACAGUGGCGGAUCGCCGUGUGGCCGCGCGAGGCGCACGCCUGGUUCCCUCGGAGAUAAGAAAGCUCAGCUUUCCUGUCCCUUGGAGAUUCCUCAAUUAAUGGAAAUCAUCUUUUCAGUGUCUUCUUCAAGACAGACGCUUUUGGGCGAUUCUCACGCAUGCUCGUGUGCCUCGUCCCGGACCCUACCCACGACGUUUCGUGCCGGGACACGACCAGCAAUGCGCAAUGCGCGCUGCGCGAUUCAUUAGGGAUUUCUGGAAGGGGCUCUCCACCCCGGCGGCGGUUUCACGGGGUGCACUCCCCGUGUUUACGCAUGUCGAAAAGACGAUCCCGGCUCUGCCGGCUUGAGCGAGGGCAGGCGGGAAGGCUGGUCCUUGCGUCCCUGGGGUGGCGACUUUCCAGGACGGAUAAAUCGAUUGCAGGCCGGGAUGCUCGUUUGGGGGUUGGAGAUGACCUCUACGAUGCUCAGGGUAGUAGUGUCGAUUAAGAGCGAUGGCUUCAGCUGUGCUUGUCUCGACGUUUUGUAAUUUCUGGAUAAAGUGCACGAAAUUAUAUUGACUAAAUAAACUGAUCUCUUUAGCAUAGUAUAUAUAUCUAUUGCUAAUCAAAAAAUCUGAAAAUAUUACAUUAUUUUAAUAAAAAUAUCUACAAAUUGAUUUCUAUCUAUUUGUUUUCAGAAUGCAAAAGAGAAUAUUCAAUAAAAUAUAAAAUGUAAUUACUAAUUGUUUAGAAUGCUUAGGUUGGAUUUUGAUUUACUUUUAUUUUUUUAUUGAUUUAUUUUUAUUAUUCAUAUUAUGUCUCUUUGUCUCUUGUAUAAGAUAUUAACUUAUAUUUUCUGCGUUGCUAAUGUUAAUGCAUGAAAAUGUUUCAGAGGAUGCACAUUAUUUUAACUCCACGUUAAGCACACGUUAUACGAUCUAGCCAGCGAAACAGGAAUGUACAAGAGGAUCGCAAUCAGGAUAUUGCACCGAUAUUACAACGGUACGUCUGCUUGAAGAGCUAGGAGAACAUGAAGCACGGUCUCUUUUAACAUCGCAUCCAUUACAUUGUACGAUAUAUCUCACUACGGCGGAAACUAUACAUCACACUCUACAAAUCCAACAUACACGAUGUAGAAUUCUUAGUUAUAAAUAAAUUUCAAUCGCGAUGUAACGAAAACUUUAAUUCUAAAAAUCUGUUAUAGUAUAACUGUUGUAUAUUAUCACGUCGCACGUCACUAUAAAAUCAAUUCAACAAGUUAUGAGAUGAAAAAACGUUUCGUACAACUAUCUAUUAUAUAUUUUGUCAACGUCAAAGUGCAUGAAAUACAGAUAACAUGAAACCAUUAUAUCGUUAUAAAAUAAUCUAUAUGGAAAAGUCAAUUAACACGGUGGGAUUUCUAAUUCAGUGGAAAUAAAAAUUCCAGUAACAAAUAA